UACGUAGGGGGCAAGCGUUGUCCGGAAUCAUUGGGCGUAAAGAGCGUGUAGGCGGUUCGGUAAGUCUGCUGUGAAAGUCCAGGGCUCAACCCUGGAAAGCCGGUGGAUACUGUCGGACUAGAGUGCGGAAGAGGCGAGCGGAAUUCCCGGUGUAGCGGUGAAAUGCGUAGAUAUCGAGAGGAACACCUGCGGCGAAGGCGGGUAGCUGGGCCGACACUGACGCUGAGGCGCGAAAGCCAGGGGAGCGAACGGG
rnacentral:rRNA from 1 species